GGGGGGUGUAACUCUCCGCUCCCGGAAUCAUGACAAGCGAGCUUCUGGCAUUUUCAGCGGGGACGCACUUUCAUAAGUUGCGCUGUUAUUUCAGUACCAUCGUCAUCGUUACACAAGAUAAAGCGGACAUGGGUGACGUUCCAAUGAUCUGAACAUGGAGGUUCAGCCGAAGAAAAGAUCGAGGAACCGAACGAGGUCCUCCACUGCCAGUGGAUGUGUUGGCCUUGGCCUGUGCUCUCUCCUUGACCCGCUGCUGAGCUCCAAUUCCCUUUCUCCCGUCACCGUGGGAUACCUGGCUUGAUUGACAGCUCUAAAGAGUGCAGCCACCCGUGGCCAGGACGGCAGUAACGGCCACGACGCCAGCGUUUCAUUCGCACCAAACCCAGUGGCGGAACCAUGAUGAAGAUGAGAUGGAUUUGGACUGGAUUUGCCAUUUGGAUUUGCAUGAUGGUUGCCAGGUCCACGUCACAAAUCCCCCCCUCUGUUUGACCACUGAAAGAUGUUCACUGACGUUUCAGAAAAGGGAGAAGCUCACUUUGCCCUCAAGGUCCAGUAUUUCUCUCUCUCUCUCUCUAGAUGGAUGACAUCAUUAUCAGUGAUAUACUGACCCUCAACACUGCAGGAUUACUACACACUUUAUGGCAAGCCCCAAAAGGUCUGUGCCCAGUUGUUGGACGAGCAUCUGGAGUGUAAACGUGUGACAGAGGAAAAAAAACGCACCAUGUUGCAGAGGUGUCGAGUCAUUCUCAUGUUCAAAGCAUCUGAAUUUAACCUGGACCGCACGACCUUGCUGAUCGCCAACAACCCACUGCAGACUGCCGAUGACCCUGCGGGCACCGACAGCCCUACUAAAUACCUGCAUACCUAUACCCACCCCCCAAUACAGAAGGGGGCACCAGACUUGACCAGCUCUUGCAAACUGCCUCCUCUGAAACGACCUAUAACAUCUAAUUCACCAAGACAGGAAAGAGCGGGCAGGUAUAUCCCAACUAUUCAGUGCAUUCUGUUUUUUCCACAGCCACUAAAGUAACUGUUUCAACAAAAGAAAGUGCUAAAAAUGCUUAAAAAAAAACAACAACAUGCAUAUCGUUAGAGUGCGCAUGAUUAGGGAAAGUUGGUUUGGGG
ensembl:lncRNA